rnacentral:pre_miRNA from 1 species
UUUAUACUCCCUCCUUCCUAAAAUUCUUGUCUUAGAUUAGUCUAGAUACGGAUGUAUCUAAUACCAAAACAUGACUUGAUACAUCCGUAUUUAGACAAAUCUAAGACACGAAUUUUGGGACAGAGGGAGUAUUUC